UACGUAGGGUGCAAGCGUUAAUCGGAAUUACUGGGCGUAAAGCGUGCGCAGGCGGUUGUGUAAGACAGAUGUGAAAUCCCCGGGCUCAACCUGGGAACUGCAUUUGUGACUGCACGGCUCGAGUGCGGCAGAGGGGGAUGGAAUUCCGCGUGUAGCAGUGAAAUGCGUAGAGAUCCGGAGGAAGACCGGUGGCGAAGGCGGUCUGCUGGGCAGCUUCUGACACUGAGGCGCGACAGCGUGGGGAGCAAACAGG
rnacentral:rRNA from 1 species